rnacentral:ncRNA from 1 species
AAUGAUGGUUUUGUCGCUUUUCAUUAUAAAUCAUAUGGAACUUUUUUUCUGCACAAAAAUAGACACCAUAAUCCUUGCGGUGGAUUUACCCACUACAGAAAUUAUAGAGCC